rnacentral:rRNA from 1 species
GACGAACGCUGGCGGCGUGCCUAAUACAUGCAAGUAGAACGCUGAAGGAGGAGCUUGCUUCUCUGGAUGAGUUGCGAACGGGUGAGUAACGCGUAGGUAACCUGCCUGGUAGCGGGGGAUAACUUUUGGAAAGGAAAGUUAAUACCGCAUAAUAUUCGAUGUUCCAUGACAUUUGCUUAAAAUUUGCACUUGCAUCACUGCAAGAUGGCCCUGCGUUGUUUUAGCUAGUUGGUGGGGUAACGGCUCAACAAGGCGAAGAUACAUCACGGACCUGAGAGGGUGGUCGGGCAAACUGGGACUGGGACACGGCCCAGACUCCUUCGGGAGGCAGCAGGAGGGAAUCUUCGGCAAAGGAGGGAAGGCUGACCGAGGAAAGACGCGGGAGUGAAGAAGGUUUUCGGAUCGUAAAGCUCUGUUGUAAGAGAAGAACGAGUGUGAGAGUGGAAAGUUCACACUGUGACGGUAUCUUACCAGAAAGGGACGGCUAACUACGUG